rnacentral:rRNA from 1 species
AUGGGAACGCGAAGAACCUUACCUAGACUUGACAUCUCCUGAAUAGUGUAGAGAUACAUGAAGCCCUUCGGGGCAGGAAGACAGGUGGUGCAUGGUUGUCGUCAGCUCGUGUCGUGAGAUGUUGGGUUAAGUCCCGCAACGAGCGCAACCCUUAUUACUAGUUGCUACCAUUAAGUUGAGCACUCUAGUGAGACUGCCCGGGUUAACCGGGAGGAAGGCGGGGAUGACGUCAAAUCAUCAUGCCCCUUAUGUCUAGGGCAACACACGUGCUACAAUGGUGAGUACAGAUAGAUGCGAUACCGCAAGGUGGAGCCAAACUCUAAAACUCAUCCCAGUUCGGAUUGUAGGCUGUAACUCGCCUACAUGAAGUUGGAGUUGCUAGUAAUCGCGAAUCAGAAUGUCGCGGUGAAUACGUUCCCGGGUCUUGUACACACCG